AGAGUUUGAUCCUGGCUCAGAACGAACGCUGGCGGCGUGGAUAAGACAUGCAAGUCGAGCGGGAGUUUGUGGGUGGCAAUAUUCGCAGACUCUAGCGGCGAAAGGGUGCGUAACACGUGGGUAAUUUGCCGUGAAGCCUGGAAUAACUCGCUGAAAGGCGAGCUAAUACCGGAUGUGACCACGGGAGGGCCUCCUCCUGUGGUUAAAGCUGGGGACCGUAAGGCCUGGCACUUCACGAUAAGCCCGCGGCCUAUCAGCUAGUUGGUGGGGUAAGGGCCCACCAAGGCGUAAACGGGUAGCUGGUCUGAGAGGACGACCAGCCACACUGGAACUGAGACACGGUCCAGACACCUACGGGUGGCAGCAGUCGAGAAUUUUUCACAAUGGGCGAAAGCCUGAUGGAGCGACGCCGCGUGGGGGAUGAAUGGCUUCGGUCCGUAAACCCCUGUCAUUCGGAAACAAUUCUGGUGGCGUAAUAUGCCACCGGUUGAUAGUACCGGAAGAGGGAGGGACGGCUAACUCUGUGCCAGCAGCCGCGGUAAUACAGAGGUCCCAAGCGUUGUUCGGAUUCACUGGGCGUAAAGGGUGCGUAGGUGGUUGGAUAAGUCUGAUGUGAAAUCUCGGAGCCUAACUCCGAAACGGCAUCGGAUACUAUUCAGCUUGAGGGCUGGAGGGGGGACUGGAAUUCUCGGUGUAGCAGUGAAAUGCGUAGAUAUCGAGAGGAACGCCAAUGGCGAAGGCUAGUCCCUGGACAGCACCUGACACUGAGGCACGAAAGCUAGGGGAGCAAACAGGAUUAGAUACCCUGGUAGUCCUAGCCGUAAACGGUGCACGUUUGCUGUGAGCGGAAUCGACCCCGCUCGUGGCGAAGCUAACGCAUUAAACGUGCCGCCUGGGGAGUACGGCCGCAAGGUUAAAACUCAAA
rnacentral:rRNA from 1 species